rnacentral:rRNA from 1 species
GGAACCGACCCGGGGACCGCCGGGGCAACCCGGCGCCCCCGAGACGGGGCGAACCACGGUGAAAUGACGGAUCGUCGGCCCCCGCGCCGGCGACUCGCCGAAUGAGUUUCUGACCUAUCAACUCGAGACGGCGGGGUAGAGGCCCGCCGCGGUAACGACGGGUAACGGGGAAUCAGGGUUCGAUUCCGGAGAGGGAGCCUGAGAAACGGCUACCACAUCUACGGAAGGCAGCAGGCGCGUAAAUUACCCAAUCCUGAUUCAGGGAGGUAGUGACAAGAAAUAACAACUCGGGGCCUCACGGCUUACGAGAUUGCAAUGAGAACAAUUUAAAUCUCUUAGCGAGGAACAAUUGGAGGGCAAGUCUGGUGCCAGCAGCCGCGGUAAUUCCAGCUCCAAUAGCGUAUAUUAAAGUUGUUGCAGUUAAAAAGCUCGUAGUUGAAUUUCUGAUUAUGGAUGUAGCGGUUUCCGUUACAUUUGUAGUCAUCCACAUGAGAACCUUUUCUCGGCCUUCACUGUCGGUUGGGGAGUCAUGUACUUACUUUGUAAAAAUAUA